CCUACGGGUGACAGCAGUGAGGAAUAUUGGUCAAUGGACGAGAGUCUGAACCAGCCAAGUAGCGUGAAGGAUGACUGCCCUAUGGGUUGUAAACUUCUUUUAUAAAGGAAUAAAACGAGGCACGUGUGCCUUUUUGCAUGUACUUUAUGAAUAAGGAUCGGCUAACUCCGUGCCAGCAGCCGCGGUAAUACGGAGGAUCCGAGCGUUAUCCGGAUUUAUUGGGUUUAAAGGGAGCGUAGAUGGGUUGUUAAGUCAGUUGUGAAAGUUUGCGGCUCAACCGUAAAAUUGCAAUUGAUACUGGCAGUCGUGAGUACAGUUGAGGUAGGCGGAAUUCGUGGUGUAGCGGUGAAAUGCUUAGAUAUCACGAAGAACCCCGAUUGCGAAGGCAGCUUACUAAACUGUGACUGACAUUGAUGCUCGAAAGUGUGGGUAUCAAACAGGAUUAGAGACCCAGGUAGUC
rnacentral:rRNA from 1 species